CAGCAGCCGCGGGAAUACGUAGGUCCCGAGCGUUGUCCGGAUUUAUUGGGCGUAAAGCGAGCGCAGGCGGUUAGAUAAGUCUGAAGUUAAAGGCUGUGGCUUAACCAUAGUACGCUUUGGAAACUGUUUAACUUGAGUGCAGGAGGGGAGAGUGGAAUUCCAUGUGUAGCGGUGAAAUGCGUAGAUAUAUGGAGGAACACCGGUGGCGAAAGCGGCUCUCUGGCUUGUAACUGACGCUGAGGCUCGAAAGCGUGGGGAGCAAACAGGAUUAGAUACCCCAGUAGUCCCUGUCUCUUAUACA
rnacentral:rRNA from 1 species